CGAGAUUGUUAUUGUUUACAUUUAAAUUGUCAUUUCCCGUUGUCAUCCAUUUGUCAUUUCCCGUUGAUGAGUGUUGCUCGUGAAUUUAUUUUAUAAAUUUUUGUUUACAUUUUGAAAUAUGUAAUAUCUAACAGAAUAUUGCAUUGCGUUUCUCGCGGGCUACUGCCAGGAAGUUGCCAAGACUUGGUGAUUAUUCUGCUAUAGAUCAGGAUACGAAAAUCUUCACCGCAUAAAAUCAACCUUUUUUUAAAGAAGGCUUUAAAAAUACUUACUCAAGCUAUCACAGAAGUAAAGAAAAAAUAUCCCUUAUCAAUCAUCUAUAAAAUAAGCCCAACCAUAUACCCACUUUACACCACCUUAUAAAAAGACUCAUAAAAACUGGAUUUUGAGAUUUAUACUUAAAUUUCUAUGCAGAUCUGUUCUUAUAGAUGUCCCUUUUCUAGUUUGAAUAAAAUUAAUAGUUUUUGCUAGUUUUUAA